UUUCUGGCCACAGUUUACUAAACUAUGAGUGGCAAGAUUGAAAUUGUUUGUUAUCUGUUUGAACGAACAAAAACGCAGCAAAUGCAUAAGACGUCGUGUUUAAUCAAACAAUUUAUGGGCGGCGAGCAGCAGCGUACGGGAUUGGGUAAAAUCUGUCUCUAUUUAUUAUAGUACCCAAUAAAGCGUACUGUAUUUAAAUGAAAUUCAGACUCAUCGACAAAUAGGCGCCUCUAUACAAACGAUAGCCGUGAGGCUGACGGAUUUGUAAAAGACACGAGGCCAUCGAUAUCCGGUCGUGCGCUUUUUUUACUCGUCGCUCUAUAUUAAA
rfam:Xenorhabdus poinarii str. G6 chromosome, complete genome.